rnacentral:rRNA from 1 species
AUCUAUGGCCAUGCCACCCUGAACGUGCCUGAUCUCGUCUGAUCCCGGAGGCUAAGCAGGGUCAGGCCUGGUUAGUACUUGGAUGAGAGAUCCCAUCCUAAAAGAACUCACAGUCAAGU